rnacentral:piRNA from 1 species
UGAUGAGUUUUUGUUGACCCACCUUGAGAC